CGUACCUUUUGUAUAAUGGGUCAGCGACUUAUAUUCUGUAGCAAGGUUAACCGAAUAGGGGAGCCGAAGGGAAACCGAGUCUUAACUGGGCGUUAAGUUGCAGGGUAUAGACCCGAAACCCGGUGAUCUAGCCAUGGGCAGGUUGAAGGUUGGGUAACACUAACUGGAGGACCGAACCGACUAAUGUUGAAAAAUUAGCGGAUGACUUGUGGCUGGGGGUGAAAGGCCAAUCAAACCGGGAGAUAGCUGGUUCUCCCCGAAAGCUAUUUAGGUAGCGCCUCGUGAAUUCAUCUCCGGGGGUAGAGCACUGUUUCGGCAAGGGGGUCAUCCCGACUUACCAACCCGAUGCAAACUGCGAAUACCGGAGAAUGUUAUCACGGGAGACACACGGCGGGUGCUAACGUCCGUCGUGAAGAGGGAAACAACCCAGACCGCCAGCUAAGGUCCCAAAGUCAUGGUUAAGUGGGAAACGAUGUGGGAAGGCCCAGACAGCCAGGAUGUUGGCUUAGAAGCAGCCAUCAUUUAAAGAAAGCGUAAUAGCUCACUGGUCGAGUCGGCCUGCGCGGAAGAUGUAACGGGGCUAAACCAUGCACCGAAGCUGCGGCAGCGACACUAUGUGUUGUUGGGUAGGGGAGCGUUCUGUAAGCCUG
rnacentral:rRNA from 1 species